rnacentral:rRNA from 20 species
AGAGUUUGAUCAUGGCUCAGAUUGAACGCUGGCGGCAGGCCUAACACAUGCAAGUCGAACGGUAACAGAAAGCAGCUUGCUGCUUUGCUGACGAGUGGCGGACGGGUGAGUAAUGUCUGGGAAACUGCCUGAUGGAGGGGGAUAACUACUGGAAACGGUAGCUAAUACCGCAUAACGUCGCAAGACCAAAGAGGGGGACCUUAGGGCCUCUUGCCAUCGGAUGUGCCCAGAUGGGAUUAGCUAGUAGGUGGGGUAACGGCUCACCUAGGCGACGAUCCCUAGCUGGUCUGAGAGGAUGACCAGCCACACUGGAACUGAGACACGGUCCAGACUCCUACGGGAGGCAGCAGUGGGGAAUAUUGCACAAUGGGCGCAAGCCUGAUGCAGCCAUGCCGCGUGUAUGAAGAAGGCCUUCGGGUUGUAAAGUACUUUCAGCGGGGAGGAAGGGAGUAAAGUUAAUACCUUUGCUCAUUGACGUUACCCGCAGAAGAAGCACCGGCUAACUCCGUGCCAGCAGCCGCGGUAAUACGGAGGGUGCAAGCGUUAAUCGGAAUUACUGGGCGUAAAGCGCACGCAGGCGGUUUGUUAAGUCAGAUGUGAAAUCCCCGGGCUCAACCUGGGAACUGCAUCUGAUACUGGCAAGCUUGAGUCUCGUAGAGGGGGGUAGAAUUCCAGGUGUAGCGGUGAAAUGCGUAGAGAUCUGGAGGAAUACCGGUGGCGAAGGCGGCCCCCUGGACGAAGACUGACGCUCAGGUGCGAAAGCGUGGGGAGCAAACAGGAUUAGAUACCCUGGUAGUCCACGCCGUAAACGAUGUCGACUUGGAGGUUGUGCCCUUGAGGCGUGGCUUCCGGAGCUAACGCGUUAAGUCGACCGCCUGGGGAGUACGGCCGCAAGGUUAAAACUCAAAUGAAUUGACGGGGGCCCGCACAAGCGGUGGAGCAUGUGGUUUAAUUCGAUGCAACGCGAAGAACCUUACCUGGUCUUGACAUCCACGGAAGUUUUCAGAGAUGAGAAUGUGCCUUCGGGAACCGUGAGACAGGUGCUGCAUGGCUGUCGUCAGCUCGUGUUGUGAAAUGUUGGGUUAAGUCCCGCAACGAGCGCAACCCUUAUCCUUUGUUGCCAGCGGUCCGGCCGGGAACUCAAAGGAGACUGCCAGUGAUAAACUGGAGGAAGGUGGGGAUGACGUCAAGUCAUCAUGGCCCUUACGACCAGGGCUACACACGUGCUACAAUGGCGCAUACAAAGAGAAGCGACCUCGCGAGAGCAAGCGGACCUCAUAAAGUGCGUCGUAGUCCGGAUUGGAGUCUGCAACUCGACUCCAUGAAGUCGGAAUCGCUAGUAAUCGUGGAUCAGAAUGCCACGGUGAAUACGUUCCCGGGCCUUGUACACACCGCCCGUCACACCAUGGGAGUGGGUUGCAAAAGAAGUAGGUAGCUUAACCUUCGGGAGGGCGCUUACCACUUUGUGAUUCAUGACUGGGGUGAAGUCGUAACAAGGUAACCGUAGGGGAACCUGCGGUUGGAUCACCU